UGGGGAAUCUUCCGCAAUGGACGAAAGUCUGACGGAGCAACGCCGCGUGAGUGAAGAAGGUUUUCGGAUCGUAAAGCUCUGUCUUUGAGGACGAAUGUGCUUAAUGUGAAUAAUGUUAAGUAAUGACGGUACUCGAGGAGGAAGCCACGGCUAACUACGUGCCAGCAGCCGCGGUAAUACGUAGGUGGCAAGCGUUGUCCGGAAUUAUUGGGCGUAAAGCGCGCGCAGGCGGGAUAUUAAGUCUGUUUUAAAAGUUCGGGGCUCAACCCCGUGAUGGAAUGGAAACUAAUAUUCUUGAGUGCAGGAGAGGAAAGUGGAAUUCCCAGUGUAGCGGUGAAAUGCGUAGAUAUUGGGAGGAACACCAGUGGCGAAGGCGACUUUCUGGACUGUGUCUGACGCUGAGGCGCGAAAGCCAGGGGAGUGAACGGGAUUAGAUACCCCGGUAAUCCUGGCCGUAAACGAUGGGUACUAGGUGUAGGAGGUAUCGACCCCUUCUGUGCCGGAGUUAACGCAAUAAGUACCCCGCCUGGGGAGUACGGCCGCAAGGUUGAAACUCAAAGGAAUGGACGG
rnacentral:rRNA from 1 species